rnacentral:rRNA from 1 species
AUUGAACGCUGGCGGCAGGCCUAACACAUGCAAGUCCAACGGUAACAGGAAACAGCUUGCUGUUUCGCUGACGAGUGGCGGACGGGUGAGUAAUGUCUGGGAAACUGCCUGAUGGAGGGGGAUAACUACUGGAAACGGUAGCUAAUACCGCAUAACGUCGCAAGACCAAAGAGGGGGACCUUCGGGCCUCUUGCCAUCGGAUGUGCCCAGAUGGGAUUAGCUAGUAGGUGGGGUAACGGCUCACCUAGGCGACGAUCCCUAGCUGGUCUGAGAGGAUGACCAGCCACACUGGAACUGAGGCACGGUCCAGACUCCUACGGGAGGCAGCAGUGGGGAAUAUUGCACAAUGGGCGCAAGCCUGAUGCAGCCAUGCCGCGUGUAUGAAGAAGGCCUUCGGGUUGUAAAGUACUUUCAGCGGGGAUGAAGGGAGUAAAGUUAAUACCUUUGCUCAUUGACGUUACCCGCAGAAGAAGCACCGGCUAACUCCGUG